rnacentral:tRNA from 1 species
GCCGGGGUGCCCGAGCGGACUAAGGGGGUAGGCUCGAGACUUUCCAGCGUUAAGAUGGCGUGCGACCUACUGCCCCUAUGGGGCACGCGGGUUCAAAUCCCGCCCCCGGCG